AAUGCUGUAAAUUCAAGGAAAAUUGAGUCUGGAACAACGGACUCUGACUCCGUCAUUUCAAGGUUCGAAUCCUUGUAGCCCUG
rnacentral:tRNA from 1 species